UAGGGAAUAUUGCACAAUGGGCGAAAGCCUGAUGCAGCAACGCCGCGUGAGGGAUGAAGGUCUUCGGAUUGUAAACCUCUUUUCUAAGGGACGAGUGAGGACGGUACCUUAGGAAUAAGCAACGGCUAACUACGUGCCAGCAGCCGCGGUAAUAA
rnacentral:rRNA from 1 species